CUUACGGGACGACCUGUAAGCGUAUCACUCACCGGGGACGGCCCC
rnacentral:ncRNA from 1 species